rnacentral:misc_RNA from 1 species
ACCUAACCAAAAUGUCUUUGAUCUCCUUUUUACUCUGCUCGUCCACAUACUUCUGAUAGAAGGCAACGAGAGCUUUAGCAAUGCUCUGGCGUAUGGCAAAGAUUUGGGAGGUAUGCCCACCACCUCUGACGCGAAUGCGCAUGUCGACGCCGGCGAAACGAUGUCGUCCAAGGAGGAGGAUGGGCUCGUAAGGCUUGAAACGGAGAAUCUCACGCUCCACCAGCUCGAUUGGGCAGCCAUUGAUCUUGAUUAGGCCUUCCCACGCUUGCAGUAAGUGACGGCCACGGCAGUCUUCUUGCGCCCGAAGCACUGAACGGACUCCAUCGGCGCCGAUGGCGCUUCCAUCGUUUGGACUUGUGUGAAGAAGAGAGAAAAUGAGCG